rnacentral:rRNA from 1 species
UGCGUAGGGACCAAGCGUUGUUCGGAUUUACUGGGCGUAAAGGGCGCGUAGGCGGCGUGUUAAGUCAGCUGUGAAAUCUCCGAGCUUAACUCGGAGCGGUCAGCUGAUACUGAUGUGCUAGAGUGCAGAAGGGGCAAUCGGAAUUCUUGGUGUAGCGGUGAAAUGCGUAGAUAUCAGGAGGAACACCGGUGGCGAAGGCGGGUUUCUGGGCCGAUACUGACGCUGAGGAGCGAAAGCGUGGGGAGCGAACAGG